GGUAGGGUGCAGCACACAUCAGACUGUAUAUUGAGCCCAUCAAAGAGUGGAGCUCUGGGUGCUAUUUUAUUUUUAACUUAGCUAAAACAACCCAACACCAGAAUGCCAAAGUCACAUGAUCACCUUCCUCAAUACCCAUGGAGGCUUCUAAGGACUACCCGAUUCUCAACCAGAACCUGCUUGACAUGUGCAAUUUUUAUUUUCUGAUUACAGGCCCAAACUACAAGGGAUAUGGCUGAACUUGUGUUAAGUUCAGUGCUGUUUUGGUGAAACUCCACUGUGUGCUGUGGUUCAGUCCAAACUGUCAGGACCUCCAGAAAGGAAAGUGACAUAACUAGCUUUAAAAAGAUCUCCAGGAAAUGAAGUAUAGCACAUGCCACAUACCUUAUAGACAAGUCUUAACGUGGCCCCAGUUCUACCCUUUGUUUCAACUUCAGCCAAGAAAUUUAAUCUUCAUCAGAAAAGAAUUCCAAGACAAGUUUCCAGCCUCCACCAGUUCCAGUUUUUAUGUACACCGUGGAUGACAGAGAGUGAAAGGACCCUUUUAUCUCUGAUCCAGCACCUGGGCUCUGCAGACACGUUCACCUGAUUGUCUCCCAGGUCAUGACUUCACCUAUACAGAAACCACAUUGAAUUUUCCACGGAUGCCCUCUAUGUCCUUUUGAUCAGGACAAAAGAAUGAGUCAAUAUUUAUGGAACAGGGAUGAGGAAGGAGACAUAUGCUAACUGUUGUGAACUUUUAACUAAUUUUGAAGGGACAGUCAUGAAUGUUGGUAAGUCUGAAUGAGAACUGUAAAAAUUAGUGUCUACUUUGUACAUACCUCAAUAUCCCUGUGGAAUUGGUUGUUGGUUUUCUGUUACACGUUUUUGUAGAAGCUCAAGAUCUCUGCAGAAUUUUAAAAUAAAAAUACGUAUAAGCAAUAAAAUAUUAAACUAGACGAUAAUCAUAUGUUAGAAUAGUUAGGGAAGAAUUUUAACAUGAGAAAAAGGCAAUAAUAGUCUUCCUGAUGAUUCUGCAUAAAUAGCAGAGUUCUAUAGUAAUCAAGGAAUAAAAUAGUUUUUGCCCAGCACAAAGUUAUAUAUGCAUGAAUGUCAAAAUUAAAAUAUUUAUGAAGUCUGUGUUUCUGCAGGUCACAACAAUCUAAUAAAUGAUAUUUCUCCAUCUUGGGGCUCAUUUGCUACUGUAGGAUUUCUAGACUUCUGCAAAGUAAAAUCUAUUACAUUUGGGUGUCCUCAGAGGUUUUUUUUUUUUUUUUUUUUUGGUGAAGAAGAUUGGCCUGGAGCUAACAUCUGUUGCCAGUCUUCCUCUUUUUGCUUGCGGAAGAGUGUCACUGAGUUAACAUCCAUGCCAAUCUUGCUCUAUUUUGAUGUGGGAUGCCGCCACAGCAUGGGUUGAUGAGUGAUAUGUAGGUCCACGCCCAGGAUCUGAACCUGCAAACCCCAAGCUGCCAAAACAGAGCAGGCAAACUUAACCCUUAUGUCACCGGGCUGGCCCCAUCAGAGGGUAUUUUUAUGGCCUCUCAGUUAGCAGGUUGCAUCUUCUAGUUUCUUUCUCUCCAGCUCCUCUUUAGUGAUGUUAUUGGUUGGACAUUUGUCAACCACUAGAUUGCAUGAGCAUCAUUUGGCAUGGCCAUGCUGCUGAGGUCCACUUGAAGAUCUCUAAAUUGGCUUGCUGUGCCCAGCCACCAAUAUUGCUGUUAUUGCAGGGGGUUGUAGGUUGCAGCAUCACUGCCUACUAUUGCAGUGGCAGCAAUAGUAUCACGGAGAAUGAUCAUGGUGCUGUGUCUGCCUCUGGCUGUUGUUGGAAGCUGUUGGCCCCAGAUGCCAUCAGAGUUAGGACACACACACCCUGAGGCCUGAGCCACUGAAAGGGUAGAGUCUCCAAUAUACUGGAGCUUCCCAUAGUCUCUCCAU
rnacentral:lncRNA from 1 species